rnacentral:lncRNA from 1 species
GUGUGGUUCAUCAGAGCUAUCUGAGAGGCAGUCUCCUGAGCCAUAAGUGAAACUCACAACUCAGUUCUUAGCUCAGUGGACAUUUGAUAAUUUGACUAAGGCUGGGGACUCGCCAUUGUGACCACAAGGGAAGAAGUACCCUCCUCUUGCCGGAAAGCCAGGCCAAUAGCAUCAUGCAUCCUUGGGUAGCCAUCCUGGGCCUCCUGCUCCUGCCAGGUAAGUGAAUAGGUGUAUUGUGCUUUGGAACCCCAAGGAAGUAGGGAGUGGUGUAGGGUGUGUGUGAGCGUGGUGGAGGGCCGCCUUGUCGAAGGUAAUGGGAUAGAGCUUA